CCUACGGGAGGCAGCAGUGAGGAAUAUUGGUCAAUGGGCGCGAGCCUGAACCAGCCAAGUAGCGUGAAGGAUGACUGCCCUACGGGUUGUAAACUUCUUUUAUAAAGGAAUAAAGUGCGGCACGUGUGCCUUUUUGCAUGUACUUUAUGAAUAAGGAUCGGCUAACUCCGUGCCAGCAGCCGCGGUAAUACGGAGGAUCCGAGCGUUAUCCGGAUUUAUUGGGUUUAAAGGGAGCGUAGAUGGGGUGUUAAGUCAGGUGUGAAAGUUUGCGGCUCAACCGUAAAAUUGCAGUUGAUACUGGCAGUCUUGAGUACAGUUGAGGUAGGCGGAAUUCGUGGUGUAGCGGUGAAAUGCUUAGAUAUCACGAAGAACUCCGAUUGCGAAGGCAGCUUACUAAGCUGCGACUGACAUUGAUGCUCGAAGGUGUGGGUAUCAAACAGGAUUAGAUACCCCUGUAGUC
rnacentral:rRNA from 1 species